CCUACGGUGAGCAGCCGUGAGGAAUAUUGGUCAAUGGCCGGGAGGCUGAACCAGCCAAGUCGCGUGAGGGAAGACGGCCCUACGGGUUGUAAACCUCUUUUGUCAGGGAGCAAGGUGAAGGUCGGGACCUGCUGUGAGAGUACCUGGAGAAAAAGCAUCGGCUAACUCCGUGCCCGCAGCCGCGGUAAUACGGAGGAUGCGUGCGUUAUCCGGAUUUAUUGGGUUUAAAGGGUGCGUAGGCUUUGUGGGAAGUCAGCGGUGAAAUGACCCCGCUCAACGGGGUGAAGUGCCAUUGAUACUGCCUUGCUGGAAGGCGGAUGCCUUGGGAGGAAUGUGUGGUGUAGCGGUGAAAUGCAUAGAUAUCACACAGAACACCGAUUGCGAAGGCAUCUCACGAAUCCGCGAUUGACGCUGAUGCACGAAAGCGUGGGUAUCAAACAGGAUUAGAGACCCUGGUAGUC
rnacentral:rRNA from 1 species